CCCAGCGGUAACAAAGAUUAAAACAGCACGCCUUUUUUUAUGCCUAAAACAAAAUAUGGCUUAAACUCCUACUGUUCCGAAAUUGAAGCAGCUUCGUGCAAGGACAAAAUAAUAUUAAAUUGCAACACAAGGACAAGUUGACUUUUUUUCUCAUAUGAUCAUUUCUUAGUUUCUUGCUUGCAAUCUCCCCCCUCUGGCAUCUGAAAUAUAUGCAUUACUCAGAGAACAUAUUGUUUAAAAGCCUUUAAUUCAUGCCUCUGUGCACAGUGCAUAACAAUAAGUUUUGUGUUAUCAUUUCUUACACAUCUGAUUAAAAAUUAAACACGUAGAGGCAAAUUUCAUAAAGUAUAAAAAUUUUAUUGUGUGUCUUUAUUUUCCUAAUAAGAUUACUAUUGGGAAGCAUUUUUAGGAUGGUCACGUAGCUAAUCUCAUCUUUUGAGUAACCUAGGAGACUACAUCCACACAAAUAUAUUGGUUCUCCAAUCUAGAAGGCAUUAAGAGUAACAAUUUAACAUUCCAAUUACACAUGCAUCAAAACAAUAUAAUUUAAAGUGAAACAUUUUUUAUUUACUAGUAUUUCAUCAACAUCCUUCUUUGGUUUGAAAUCAUGGUUUUUCAGUCACUUUCCUGAAAAAUGUUAAAGGGACACAUCAGGCACCUGUUAGGUGCAAUAUGUAGCUUAGGUUACAGUUAGUUACGCUGGUUGGUUUUUCUUCUUAAAUUUUGUUUAGUUAAAAAAAUAAAUCAUAAUAAUUAUUUGUUUUGAUCCGUAAGCUCACACUUUUUACCAGUUCCUCCCAGCAUGCAUUGCUUCCAUUUUCGUCCAAAAUACUACUGCUACAUGUAGUUGUGACAGUUGUUUCUGGGAAUUGUAGUUCAGCUUCUAGGUUUUGAACUGCAACUCCCAGAAACCCUUGCUGUGCCCACAACGCACUGAUUAUGGAACAAGCUACAGAAAGGUGAGUGAGCUAUGUCACUUCCAAGUUAGAAGAGAGCUCAAUGCAGACACUGGAACACUAAUGGUUUUGCCGCAAAAACUGGAGCUUCAAAUGUGAGUAUCUUCUUCAUUAUUUUUAUUUGUGAUUUUUCAUUGUUUAUACAUUAUCUGUAUACUAAAACAAAUACCUUGAAGUGUCUCCUUAAAUCUUUUAAUGAAUCAAUGGAACAAACGUGAAAUAUGGAAUAAUUUCUCCCAUGUGGCCAUCUUUAGGACCAAAAUCUAUUAUUAUUAACACAUAUUACAGCAACAUUUUCCUCAGCGCUUUACAAAUGUACAAUAGGGUUAUUUAACAUGUAAUUGACAAAUAUCAUUCAGCACGCACAAGAGGUGAAGACAGCCCUGCUCAAAUGAGUUUACGCUCUCAAAGAUUCUAUCCAUUUAUCCCUGUUUUUACGAACUCGGUAUAAAUCGAGUCUUUCACAGAAUUCUACAGAAAAAAAAUACUUAAUAUUAAAGAAUAUUUCAAACUAAAAUAAAGUUGUGUUUAAAUAAAGGAAUACAUUAUUUUGUUCUGCAUCACUCAUUUACCUUAGCUCAUCACAAAGUCCCUAAAAUAUUCUUCAGAUAUUCCCACCCUUUGGCCUAAAAAGUGUUCCUAUUUUGCAAGUUUAUCCUUGUGAAUUGAGUUAAGAACGAUCAGCCCUCUGCCAAUUCUUUGCUGUUUAUUUUUGUAUAUUAGUUAUUUUCUCAAAAUGAGUUGGUUGGAGAUGACCCACAAUAAGGAUAGCAAGGUCAAACAAUUCUUUGCCAAGCGAUCUGCUAUUGUCCCACAAGUUCAUGGGAGGUUCCAUAAUGCUUUACUCAAAUCCUUUCAACUCAUGUCCUGAUAUCUGAAGGUAUAGAUCUGUGGGAUAGAUUCUAGACCGGAGGGUGGGGUCUAUUCCUCUUUAAGAAAUGUUCUGGCUAAAUUAUAAGAAUUAGAUUUUGAUUUGAUAGAAACUCACUCAAACAUAGUAAAGAUUUUAUACUUGAAGUUGAUUUAAUAUACAAAAUGUAAAUAGAAUAUUAGAAAUAGUUGCCUUGACAAUGCACCCUCUACUAAAUUCUUCAUAGGCUAGGAUUGGGUAGGGAAAAAAAAAGUGGUGUUGGGCACUGGGUAUGUUAACGGAUGAAAAGUUAAAAGUUUUAUUUCAAAUGCAAAACCUUUUUUUUUUAUUAUUAUUUUUUUUAUAUAGUUUACAUUACAUGCCUCGCAUUCCUGGCACGGCCAGGGCAUACAAUGUAAAUUAGUUUAAACCCUGUAGUGUACAGCACAAUGUAAGGGGUGCCUGACUGCUUGUAUGCCUUUUCUGUAGAUGUCAGAGAACGAUGGUACCUAGAAUGAUAACGCCACCCUAAACACAGAAAUCUGGCAGAGGUAAUUGGAUUUUUUUUUAUUUUAUUUUUUUAACCUUACCUCAAUGCACUAUUCACCCCAGUAGAAGCUUCAGUGGAGUUUAAUGAGUGAGGGAAUGAGGAACUGUCACUUUCAGAGAUAAGAUAGAUAGAAUUUAAUUGCUACAUUGUCACUUACAGACUGUAAUAUCCCAAUCACAUGCAAUAUUCAGAAGAAGAAGAAAAAAAAGGCGAAUUUAAGAAUAUCAUUUUUAAGACUAAUGGAGUUGGUGCAUACACAGAGAUUAUUACAAUUUAAAAUGUUUAAUUAAUAAUUUAGUUUCGCUUUGAAUGUUACAAAAAAAUAUCGUCACCAGCAGCAGUAGCAGUAAAAAAUUUUGUCAAUCAUUUUCACACACUCACAUAUUGACCCGACACCGAGCAAGUGAUGCCAUAAAUACAGAGUUGCUCAGUAACUAAAUGAGACAAGUGGGGUCUCAAGGAAUGGCCAGAAUUCUGAUCUCAGCCAGUUCCUGGGUUCCGCACAGUAAUGUAUGAUCCCUAGAAAAAAACUGCAAAGAGGGAUAUGCAGUAGUAUAAUAUUUAUUUAUUUUUAAAUGUUAUUUUUAAAACACCUUUUAACCCCUUAAGGACACAUGACAUGUGUGACAUGUCAUGAUUCCCUUUUAUUCCAGAAGUUUGGUCCUUAAGGGGUUAAAGCAUGAUUUCUAUGUUAUAAAAUAAUAUAAUUUUUUUAACCUUCAGCGUGCAGCUCUCCAGAACAUAGCUCAGAGAAAAUCUUAAGUUAUUUUUUCUUCUAAUAUUUAUGUUGCACAUCAAAGCCUCGUCAUCAAAGCAAAGCUUGCAUAAAAACACAGAAUCAAGGGUAAAGAAAAAUGAUUCCCUGUGUUUACAGUCUCCUGCAGGAACAGAGCCAAUAUUAUAUAUGUUAAUUCCUUUUCUGUCGAAUUCAAGCACUAGUGGUAAACUGUCUGAAAUAGGCUCUUAAGACAAUAUAAGUGGGUCAACUUGGAACUACACUUGGGAAGCUGUGAAUAUUGAUUAAGCAGGAUGCAAAAUAUUUAUUCUGCAACUAUUACAGCAGUAUCCGCUCAAUACAGAUCGACCAGAUAACAGAGGGGUAGAAGGUGCAAAAUCAAUCUUGUAGGUCUGACUUGGUAAACACUAAAACAAUUAAGCAAAGUGUUUCUUUCUCAUCAUGAGAAAAAUAUACCUUUAGAUUGCUAGUAUAACAAUCACGUCUAUUCUUUGGUUAGCUGGAGUCUAGGUCAUACGGACAUCUUAUAAGAGGAAGAAGAAAGCCAUGUAAAUGUGAAAACAUCCCACAGCUCACUAAACUUGGCUGAACUACAAAUCCCAUGAUCUUCAGACACUCUGGAUGCGGCAACAGAGGUCCCUGGCAGUUGGUUGGCUGAGAAACAUAAGAGGUGUAAUUCACAAGCAGUUUGUGAUGCUGGUUAGCGCCCCCUGCUGCUAAGUAUUCCAGAUCUUCCUGAUACAGGCAUUUAUUUAAGUUACCUGGCUACUUUCUAUUUGUAAAAUGUAACAGACAAAGGGAAGUAUUUAAAUUCUAAUGAACUAUGGAAAAUCCACAAUAAAUAGCUACUCUGUUACAGAGUAAGUCUGGAGAAGAAUAUGCCGCAAUGCCAACGAGACACACUCAAGGGGGCACAAACUGUGUCUAGGGCUCUGUUGCGUUAUUUACCAACAAGAGAGCCUACAGUUCAGACUAGAACUCUCUACACAGGUGGAAAGUUCUAGGUGUGGAAAUAUAAGUGUGGGAGAUUUUCCAUCAGUUCCAUUAAUUCCUGAUUUACAUUUAACUUUGCUAUUACUUCUGUAGAACUGAAUUAUGUCAGUGUAUUUCUCAAGUGUACACUCAGGAUAAUUUAACUUAAAGGACCACUAUAGUGCCAGGAAAACAUACUCGUUUUCCUGGCACUAUAGUGCCCUGAGGGUGCCCCCACCCUCAGGGACCCCCUCCCGCCCGGCGCUGGGC